GAGAGCUUGUGCAGCAAAUUCAUAGUGAUAUUAAGAAAUUUGCGAGAGUGAUGGGUCUAACUUGUGUACCUGUGUAUGGAGGUUCUGGUGUUGCUCAACAAAUUAGUGAGUUGAAACGAGGAGCUGAAAUUGUUGUGUGCACUCCAGGUAGGAUGAUCGAUAUUCUUUGUACAAGUGGUGGGAAGAUCACGAAUCUGCCAAGAGUCACUUACUUGGUCAUGGAUGAAGCUGAUCGGAUGUUUGAUAUGGGAUUUGAAUCUCAGAUAGCAAGUAUUGUCCAAAACACACAGCCAGACCGUCAAACAGUCCUGUUCUCUGCAACAUUUCCUCGUCAGGUUGAAAUACUAGCCCGUAAAGUAUUGAACAACCCUGUCAAAAUACAGGUAGGUGGUAGGAGUGUUGUGAAUAAGGAUAUAACACAAUUGGUUGAGGUGAGGCCAGAAAGUGAUAGAUUCCUUCGACUUCUUGAAUUGCUUGGUGAAUGGUGCGAAAAAGGUAAAAUUUUGAUAUUUGUUCACACACAGGAGGAAUGUGAUUCUUUGUUUAGAGAAUUAAUCAAGCCUGGUUAUGGCCGUUAUGGCUGCGCCUCUCUUCAUGGGGCAAAGGAUCAGAUUGAUCGGAAGUCCACCAUAUUUAACUUUAAAAAUAAUACAUGUAAUUUGUUGAUUGCUACUAGUAUAGCAGCAAGGGGCUUAGAUGUGAAGGAGCUUGAAUUGAUAAUCAAUUAUGAUGUUCCGAACCAUUAUGAGGACUAUGUUCAUCGUGUUGGGCGGACUGGACGAGCUGGUAGGAAAGGUUGUGCCAUUGCAUUCAUAUCCGAAGAUGAUGCAAGAUAUGCACCUGAUCUUGUAAAAGCUUUACAAUUGUCGGAGCAAGUUGUUCCAGAUGACCUGAAAGCUCUUGCUGAUAGUUUCAGGGCGAAGGUGAAUCAGGGACUUGAGCAAGCACAUGGGACUGGUUAUGGUGGUAGGGGUUUUAAAUUUAACGAAGAAGAGGAUGAAGUGAGAAGAGCAGCCAAAAAGGCACAGGCAAAAGAAUAUGGAUUUGAGGAGGAUAAAUCAGAUUCAGAGGAUGAUGAUGAAGGAAUUAGAAAAGCAGGCGGCGACCUCAGUCAGCAGGCUGCCCUUGCUCAGGCUGCUGCUCUCGAUGCUGCUUCCAAAGCGAGUAUGGCUUCAGCAGCAACUCCAGUUUCCAUUGGUCAGCUUCUUCCUAAUGGUGUAUUACCUGUUGCAUUGCCAGGUGUACUUGGUAUUAACAUACCAGGCACAACAGCAGUUGCUGCUGGAAAUGGACUGCCAGUCGGCUCAGCACGUGCCUUAAACUUGCGGCAGAAAUUAGCAAAGAUUCAGGCUGAUGCAAUGCCUGAACAUUAUAUAGCAGAAUUAGAGAUCAAUGAUUUUCCUCAAAACGCUCGCUGGAAGGCUACGCACAAGGCAACUUUGGAUCCUAUUUCUGAAUGGACAGGAGCUGCCAUUACCCCUCGAGGACAGUAUGCUCCACCUGGCAAGGUACCAGAGUCGGGGCAAAGGAAGCUGUACUUGUUCAUUGAAGGCCCUACAGAGCAAUCUGUCAUGAGAGCAAAAGAACAAGUUUUGAAGGACAUUACCAUGCAAGCAUCAUCACUUCGUGGUUCAGCUCAAUCAGGCAGAUACUCGGUUGUGUGAGAAUGGAUGUCGUUGCCAUUGGUAUUGUUUCUUUUUCGACUUUUAUCUAUUCAGGCAUAUUAUUUCCUAAGUUUUGUCGCUCGAUUUAGAGAUGACUUACCUUUUAAUGAUGUAAACAGGUUUAACUAGAUACAUGAUUAUUCUCACUGAUCAGCCAUGGUUUGUUCCUCUGCUAUAUGAUUUUAUAAAUCCCGUUAUCAUUAAGUUGAAAUUUCGAUUAUCUAUAUUACUUGAUUCCCUUACUGAUAGUACCAUCAAAGCUUUGAAACUGCCGCAGGGAGAUUCCACGAAGUUGCACAGGAAGAAACAUGGUAUUCAGUCACCCCGACUAAUAUCUUGGUUAGGAAAGAAAUAACAUGUGGUAACUUUUAGCACAAUUACUUGAAUUUCUGUUACUUAUAUGUUAUAGCAAGAAUUGCUUGAGUUACUAUGCAUGAGGAAUCAUCAUAUAUGCAUAAAGUUGAUGACGGAAUCUCUUCACGCGUUCUUAAUUUCGUUGGUUAUUUAUGCAGCAUACGUCAAUGAGCUCAGAGCAAGAUUCUUACUGUUGUUGGAGAUGAUCUCACUGACUUACUUGUUGAUUCCAGCAACAGAAAGGAUUAAAUUAUUACCACCUUCAAAUCCGAUGAAAUGAGAAGUUCCGCAUUGUGUGUUUACCUCGUAUCAGUUCUUAAUUCAGGAAGUGGAGUCUGAACUAUGUGACCGGUAGCAGUUGCAUUUUUCUCGUAGUUGCCUGUCUUACGACUUUUCCUACUCGUUAUUUACUGUGCUUUAGUUAUCACAUUAUUUGGUUAUUGUUAUUGUUAUUUUUACGAAUGUAUUUUCCUUUUGACUGCUUUGAUGUGCAUUACUCGAGCCAAGGGUCUUUCGCAGACAGCCUCUCUACCUCCAUAAGAUAAGGUCUGCGUACUCUCUACACUCAGUUUCUGAUCUCAUAAAUCUGUUCUAAUUAAAGUUCUUUACUGUCUUUCGCAUCUGCAUGGCACGCUGAUGGCCGCACCUCUGUGACUGAGAAUCAAGAUAAAACCUUCCGAAUUUGGGACUUGAGAAACCUGCCACCACCUACAGCAGUGCUGAAGGAAAACAUGGGUGCUGUCCGAUCGAUCAGUUACUCAUCAGAUGGGCGGUUCUUGGUAGUGGCUGAACCCGCAGAGUUUGUCCACAUUUACAAUGCCGAAGGAGAGUACAAGAAGCGUCAUGUUUGGCGAGAUAUCCAUCUAUGAGUCCAGAUGAGUCUCUUUAUUUGGAAUCUGGGAUCAAACAUAUGCAUGCUUUGCUGCAAUACAGCAGUAGACAACGAUAACAACAACAACAACAUACUCAAUGUAUUCCCACAAAGUGGGGUUUGGGGAGGCUAAAGUGUACGCAGUCCAUACCACUACCACAACAGUAGACAUUCUUCUAAAUACGUCGAUUUGUUCUUUUAAACCUCAUUUUAACAAAACAUCAUUUUUCAAACCUGUUUUGAAAAUGUUUUUCUUGAGUUGAGCUAAGGGUCGAAACAACCUCUUUAUCCCACAAAGGUAGAGGUAAGAUUUGUGUACAUCUCAUCUUCCCAGGCCUAUUGUGUGAGGUCGCGCUAAGUAUGUUCUUGUAAACCUCAUCGUAACAGGUUACAUCAAAUUAUCAGGCAACAUUUGUGAGACUACACUAGGUUCAUUCGUGCCCCGGUACUUUAAUAAGUAAAACAUAAGUGGUCGAAGAUAUUCUUGACAUUCAAAUAACAAAUAAUUUUGUCUCGACAUAAAUUUAUGUUUUUGUAUCAUUUAAGUUAUGCCCCUUAAUUCCUCUCAAGCUUAUGUCAAUAGAGGUUAAAGUUUUGUUCAGAACUCACAAGUUGCACCGUAAAAGGUAUAACUUGAUUUCUUGCUUAUUUCAUGUACAACUUAUCUCGAUAGAGGUAAAGUUUGGAUGCCAUAAAAAAUAUAAUUUAAUUUCUACCGAACUUAUGCAAGUCAAACUUUGUUUCAGAACUCACUAAAUGUGUCGCAAACAAAAUGUCUUUAAACUUAUGCCAAACGAAUUAGAUAUUAUACAAGAAAAAGAAAUCUUAUGAAUAGAAAUUAAUUCCUUUUUCCUACAAAGAAAAAAUAGAACUAAAUUAAAUCUUAUGAAUUUUUAAAUAAAAAUAAAAUUAAUUCCUUUUCCCUAUUUGCCCCUCCUCCCUUAAAAUUUGCCAUCAAAAGUUUCACUCGAUUCAACUUGUCUCAACUUACAAGUAUAAAAAAUCCAGUUCCAGAACAAAAACUAGGGUUUCAAAAUCAGCUGAUUUCGCCGGAGAUAAUUGGGGAUUUUGCCGGAACAAGCUCCGGUACCAUCGAUUUCCUAAUUCCGGUGAGGUAUAUUACUGAUAUGGAGGAGUUGAAGCACAAAUCGUCGAAGAGAGAAGACGAAUCGAAGAAAUCGAAGAGAGAAGACGAGUCGAAGAAGCGUCACCGGGACAAAGAGGAUAGAGAUAGAGAUCGAGAUCGAGAUAAGCGGGAGAGAGAUCAUCAUCAUCGAGAUAAGAAGGAUCGGGAAAGAGAGAAAAGCAGUCGGUACGAAAGAGAGAGAGAGAAAAGUGUUGAUAGAGAUAAGGCGAAGCAUAAGGAUAGGCAUAAGGAGCGUGAGAAGAGCAGCAGCAAAUUUCGAGAUGAAGAUGAAAGACCUAAGGGAGAUAAGGAGGUUGAGAAGAGCAGCAAGUUUCGCGAAGACGAUGAAAGACCUAAGGAGCGUGAGAAGAGCAGCAAAAUUCGUGAUGAAGAUGAAAAAGUUAGAGAUAGAGUGAAAGAGCGCGAAAAGGAUAAGGAAGAUCGCGAAGAAAGAGAGAGGGAGAGGAAGAAAGAACGCGAAAAAGAAAAGGAAGAUCGAGAUGAGAGGGAGAGGAAGAAAGAGCGUGAAAAGGAGAAGGAAGAUCGAGAAGAGAGGGAAAGGGAGAGGGAGAGGAAAAGAGAGCGCGAAAAGGAGAAGGAAGAUCGAGAAGAGAGGGAAAGGGAGAGGGAGAGGAGGAAAGAAAAAGAGAGGAGAGAAAGGGAGAAGGAGAGGAUUCGAGAGAAGGAUAGAUACAAAGGGAGUGAUGAUGAAGUUGAUCGCGAAAGAAAGAGGAGAAAGAGGGAUAGUAAUGAUGAGCAUUAUAAGGAGAGAGGGGAUAGGGAAAGGAGUAGCAAAACGAGUAAUAGGUUAAGGGAAGGUAGCAUUGAUCAAGUAUCAGCAGAAAAGAAUGAGAAGAGCAGAGAGGAAGAUUUAGCGGAGGAGCAAAGAAAAUUAGAUGACGAGAUGGAGAAGCGAAGGAGGAGAGUUCAAGAGUGGCAAGAGUUAAAAAGGAAAAAAGAGGAGUCUGAAAGGGAAAAGCUUGGGGUUGAUGUAGGUGGUGAAGAACCGAAAUUGGGAAAGACUUGGACGUUGGAUGGUGAGUCAGAUGACGAAGAUGCUGAGGGGAAAAAUGGGAUGGAUAUUGAUAUGGAUGAUAAUGGUAAGGUAAUGAAGGACGAAAAUGGAGCUGGUAAAAUGGUUAGUUCUAGCAAUGGAUCUGAUUCACCUGUUAUUCGGAAUGGGGGUGAUGGUGUAGCUGCGGAUGAUGAUGAGAUUGACCCUUUGGAUGCUUUUAUGAACUCUAUGGUUUUGCCUGAAGUUGAGAAGCUUAGCAAAUUUAUGGUUAAUAGCUUGGAUGCUGAAAAUUCCAGUUUGAAAGAGAAGAACGGUCCUGGUAAAGAAGAAAAACCUAAGAUGGGCGUGAAGAUGACCAUGAAGAAAACCACGGGAAGAAUUAUCCCUGGUGAAGAUUCUGAUUCAGAUUAUGGGGACGUUGAGAAUGAUGAAGAUACUUUGGAGGAAGAAGAUGAUGAAGAAUUUAUGAAACGGGUGAAGAAAACCAAGGUUGAGAAACUGUCAUUAGUCGAUCACUCAAAGAUUGACUAUCCUUCUUUCAGAAAGAACUUCUACAUAGAAGUUAAGGAAAUUUCAAGGAUGAGUCCUGAAGAGGUUUCUGCUUACAGGAAAGAGCUUGAACUUAAGAUCCAUGGCAAGGAUGUUCCAAAACCAAUCAGAACAUGGCAUCAGACAGGAUUGUCCUCAAAGAUACUAGACACUAUAAGGAAGCUGAAUUAUGAGAAGCCCAUGUCUAUUCAAGCUCAGGCUUUGCCAGUAAUCAUGAGUGGUCGGGAUUGUAUUGGGAUUGCUAAGACGGGUUCUGGUAAGACACUUGCAUUUGUAUUACCUAUGCUUAGACAUAUUAAGGACCAGCCUCCUCUGGCAUCUGGAGAUGGUCCUAUUGGGCUAAUAAUGGCCCCUACUAGAGAGCUUGUGCAGCAAAUUCAUAGUGAUAUUAAGAAAUUUGCGAGAGUGAUGGGUCUAACUUGUGUACCUGUGUAUGGAGGUUCCGGUGUUGCUCAACAAAUUAGUGAGUUGAAACGUGGAGCUGAAAUUGUUGUGUGCACUCCAGGUAGGAUGAUCGAUAUUCUUUGUACAAGUGGUGGGAAGAUCACGAAUCUGCGAAGAGUCACUUACUUGGUC
rnacentral:lncRNA from 1 species